ACGCACGCUGGCGGCGUGCUUAACACCUGCAAGUCGCACGGAAAGGCCCUGCUUGCAGGGUACUCGAGUGGCGAACGGGUGAGUAACACGUGGGUGAUCUGCCCUGCACUUCGGGAUAAGCCUGGGAAACUGGGUCUAAUACCGGAUAGGAGCCAUUUUUAGUGUGAUGGUUGGAAAGUUUUUUCGGUGUAGGAUGAGCUCGCGGCCUAUCAGCUUGUUGGUGGGGUAAUGGCCUACCAAGGCGGCGACGGGUAGCCGGCCUGAGAGGGUGGACGGCCACAUUGGGACUGAGAUACGGCCCAGACUCCUACGGGAGGCAGCAGUGGGGAAUAUUGCACAAUGGGCGCAAGCCUGAUGCAGCGACGCCGCGUGGGGGAUGACGGCCUUCGGGUUGUAAACUCCUUUCGCUAGGGACGAAGCUUUUUGUGACGGUACCUAGAGAAGAAGCACCGGCUAACUACGUG
rnacentral:rRNA from 1 species